rnacentral:misc_RNA from 1 species
GAUGAAGAACGUAGCGAAAUGCGAUAAGUAAUGUGAAUUGCAGAAUUCAGUGAAUCAUCGAAUCUUUGAACGCACAUUGCGCCCGCCAGCAUUCUGGCGGGCAUGCCUGUUCGAGCGUCAUUUCAACCCUCGAGCCCCCCCGGGGGCCUCGGUGUUGGGGGACGGCACACCAGCCGCCCCCGAAAUGCAGUGGCGACCCCGCCGCAGCCUCCCCUGCGUAGUAGCACACACCUCGCACCGGAGCGCGGAGGCGGUCACGCCGUAAAACGCCCAACUUCUGAAUGUUGACCUCGGAUCAGGUAGGAAUACCCGCUGAACUUAAGCAUAUCAAUAAGCGGAGGA